rnacentral:rRNA from 1 species
UUGUCUCAAAGAUAAGCCAUGCAGGUCUAAGUUCACCCCCUCCGAACGGGUAAACCGCGAAUGGCUCAUUAAAUCAGUCGAGGUUCCUUAGAUGACACUAAAAGUCACUCGGAUAACUGUGGCAAUUCCAGAGCUAAUACGUGCAUCGAAGCCCCGACCCCGGUUGCGUGGGAAGGGGCGCUUUUAUUAGUUCAAAACCGUGGCGACACCUCUUCGCGGAGGUUCGUCUCUUUUUUGAUGACUCUGGAUAACUUUGUGCUGAUCGCACGGCCUUUGUGCCGGCGACGCAUCUUUCAAAUGUCUGCCCUAUCAAAUGUCGACGGUACGUGACAUGCCUACCGUGUUGGCGACGGGUAACGGGGAAUCAGGGUUCGAUUCCGGAGAGGGAGCACGAGAAACGGCUACCACAUCCAAGGAAGGCAGCAGGCGCGCAACUUACCCACUCCCGGCACGGGGAGGUAGUGACGAAAAAUAACAAUACGGGACUCUUCAUGAGGCCCCGUAAUUGGAAUGAGCGCAGUCUAAACUCUUGGGCGAGGACCCAUUGGAGGGCAAGUCUGGUGCCAGCAGCCGCGGUAAUUCCAGCUCCAAUAGCGUAUAUUAAAGUUGUUGCAGUUAAAAAGCUCGUAGUUGGAUCUCGGGAGCAGGCGGGCGGUCCGACUCGCGUCGGUUCGCCGCUCGUUCACCUGCCCCACCCCUGCCGGUUCCCUCCCGGGGUGCUCUUCGAUGAGUGUCUCGGGUGGCCGGUGCGUUUACUUUGAAAAAAUUAGAGUGUUCAAGGCGGGCCCGAAGCGCCCGAAUAACUGCGCAUGGAAUAAUGGAAUAGGACCUCGGUUCUAUUUUGUUGGUUUUCGGAAUCCGAGGUAAUGAUUGACAGGGACAAACGGGGGCAUUCGUAUUGUGGCGUUAGAGGUGAAAUUCUUGGAUCGCCGCAG